ACUUCUCGGCGUCGACACAGUUACAGAAACCGAAUCAGCUAUUCAAUGGGCUUGUAUAAGGCAGAAACAGACUGAAGCCAUUGCUCUCAAAAUUGUAACCAAAACAAACGGCAGCAUUACUUGGAAUUUCAGCAAAGCGCACUCUUGUGCUUUCCAUCAUUCAAGAGAUCAUGAUUAUUCUCGCUAUUUCUAUGUUAAACCAAGAACUGAAAUUACAAUCACAGAUCAAGUUAACUAAUCCUGUCAUGCCUCAUUCACAUAGCUAAGCUUACUUUAAGUAUUAAUUAGGUAUAGUCUUUACCAUAUUUCUUGGUGAAGUUUCAUUUUUGUCUCGUCUUUUAUACUGAGGAUCGUCGUACCGUAAGAAGAAAUGUCUGGACGCGGAAAGGGUGGCUAGGGCUGGCGAAGGAAGGUGCCGAACGUGAACGAUUCGCAGUCUUCCCACACAUAUGACAAGAAAUGACUGAACGUGGAAAGCAAGGAACGGAGUUGGAUAAUGGACGUGUAAAGCGUCACCGUUACUGAAAGUGUUUCGUGACAACAUCCGGUGCAUCAUCAAGGCACGAGUCUUUCCGAGACAUAGACAAGCAAGGCCUGCCCGGAAAAUGUGGGCAAAGGAGGUGCCAGGCAUCCGAGGAGACAGUGGUCCUGGCGGAAGGCGUCUUGGUGCCACUUCCCAUAGUUGGAUUCGUUGAAAGUCGUCUUCAUCAGCUUCUUGAGAAGACAUUUCAUAACUGGAUGUUUAGAGGACAGUCCGUAUGUCAAUCAUCUCUAUAAGACCUGAUGGACAUCAGUCUUUCACGGACAUAUGACAAGAAAUGCCUGGACUUGCUAAGGGCGAAGGAGCUGGGAAUGGAGGCUUCAGGUGCUACCAUCACUGACGGUGCUUCGUGGCAACAUCCAGUUCAUCACCAAGCCAAGGAGUCAUUCCGUCUCUCCAAGGCUCCUUUUGCACGCAGGGCUUCAGUCCGUUUCUGUGUUAUACAGGCCCAAUGUGUGACUGGUUUGGUUUCUGUGGCUGUGUCUAUGGUCGGCAUUGUUUUUAGCGUUACUCUAAAUUCUGUUUUUUAGAAAACAGGAACAUUCCUGGUUCACCAUCUGGUGUCAUAUCUGUUUUAUGUCGUGGUCAGUGGUUGUCGGGGACCUAGACCAUUACAUAAUCUGCCUCUUGUCGUUAUCUUGGGUCCCGAACCAAGAGAACGACACAGGCCAGAAAUGAAGACAGGUGAUUGAAGAGCCUAUUUGAUAUAAGUAGUUUAGUCCUUUAGACACACUAUACUUUUUGGUGUCGACACAGUCACAGAAACCGAAUCAUUGCAGACAGAAUGCAAAGUGUACAUUAUUUAUAUCAAGAUGUUAGAUUCAUGUAGUUAAGCUUGCCUAUUCCCAUAUUUUUGAGUCAAGCUUCAUGUUGGUCUCGUCUUGCAAAGAGGUUUGGAGAUACUGAGCUGUGUAGACAUGCGUCUUUUGUAAGCAGUCUUUGUUUUGAAUAUAUCAUAUCAUGCCAUUCCAGUACAGGGUGACUGUCUUUUGUUGUCACUUAGCCUUUGUGUUGAAAUGUAUUUCAAUUGUAUUAUUGUAAUUCAGUAGAUCGAUGUUAAUAUUGCCCGUUUAUUGAUGAGCAUAGGUUGUUUGUAGCCUUUUAAAUCAGUCAUUUGGAAAAAUCCCUACCUAAGGCUUAGGCUGACACUGAUACUAACACAAAGACACAGACACGCACACACACUAACAAACUAACCCUUCCAAACACACAAUAACAUACUGAUGCAACAUCUUUUUGUCGAACACUAAUAAUCAGCUCUGCCUAAGCCUUAGACUGCAAAAUAACUUUCUAUUCUUCGUCAAUUACAAAGGCGCCAAGCUACCUCUAUAUCAUGUACUGACCUGAUUUUGGCUCUGUUGGCCACCGUGUCCUAGAGUAAGGGUAAUUGUUAAUCUAUGUAUGGAAGAUGUUAAGAUUUCAGUUCGAUUUUUAAAG